rnacentral:rRNA from 1 species
GAGUUUGAUCAUGGCUCAGAUUGAACGCUGGCGGCAUGCCUUACACAUGCAAGUCGAACGGCAGCACGGGAGCUUGCUCCUGGUGGCGAGUGGCGAACGGGUGAGUAAUGCAUCGGAACGUAUCCUGGAGUGGGGGAUAACGUAGCGAAAGUUACGCUAAUACCGCAUAUUCUGUGAGCAGGAAAGCGGGGGACCUUCGGGCCUCGCGCUCUUGGAGCGGCCGAUGUCGGAUUAGCUAGUUGGUGAGGUAAAGGCUACACCAAGGCGACGAUCCGUAGCAGGUCUGAGAGGAUGAUCUGCCACACUGGAACUGAGACACGGUCCAGACUCCUACGGGAGGCAGCAGUGGGGAAUUUUGGACAAUGGGGGCAACCCGUGAUCCAGCCAUGCCGCGUGAGUGAAG